rnacentral:lncRNA from 13 species
GACGCACACGCAGACACGCAGAGGUAUCGGCGGCUCCUGCGGCGACAACCGCAUCUCACCCUAUUGCCUAGGCUGGAGUGCAGUGGAGUGAUCAUGGCUCACUACAACUUCCACUGCCCAGGUUUAAGUGAUCCUCCCACCUCAGCCUCCUGAGUAGCUGGGACUACAGGUAGGUGCCACUAUGCUUGGCUAAUUUUUUGUAUUUUUGGUAGAGACGGGGUUCUUGCCAUGUUGCCCAGGCUGGUCUCAAACUCUUGAGCUCAAGUGAUCCACCUGCCUUGACCUCCCAAGGUGCUGGGAGAUUACAGGCCUGAGCCACCGCCCCCGGCCCAUCAAUAUUUCAUUUUAUUUUGGAGAUGGAGUCUCACUCUGUUGCCUAGCUUGGAAUGCGGUGACACGAUCUUAGCUCACUGCAACCUCCACCUCCCAGGUUCAAGUGAUUCUACUGCCUCAGCCUCCCAAGUAGGUGGGAUUACAGGUGACUGCCACCACACCCAGCUAAUUUUUGUAUUUUUAGUAGAGAAGGGGUUUUUGCCAUGUUGGCCAGCUGGUCUGAACUCCUGGCCUCAGGCAAUCCACCAGUCUCCAUCAAUAUUUUAAAUACAGAUAUUAAUGCUUCACAGGCUGUGCAUCUCGCCCCACGUGAGUCCACAUUCUUUCCUACCCUGGGAUUACCACUGGCCUGGAGGAAGCGCUGUCCCUCCAGGAGAGAGAGCUUUUUUUCUGGUCGCCCCUGCAGACAUGACCCUGCCUGUCCUUGGCCAAUCCCAGGGCCAGACUGGAUCGUUGGCCCUCUGACUCACCCUAGAAGGCCAGGGACUGGAGAGGCCUGGAACUCCUCAGAGUUCUGCAUGCUGUGCAAGAAGCAUGGAGCCUGCUUCUGCUUCUGGUGAGAACCUCAGGAAGCUUCUACUCAUGGUGGAAGGAGAAGGGGAGCUGGUGGCCCGUGCAGAUAACAGGGUGAUGGGAAAGCAAGAGAGAGGAGAGGAGGUGCCCAGCUCCUUUAAACAAUCAAUUCUCAGCCAGGUGCAGUGGCUCACACCCGUAAUCCCAGCACUUCAGGAGGCCAAGGCUGGCGGAUGGCUUGAGGCCAGAAGUUCAAAACCAGUGUGGCCAACCUCAACUCGGGAGGCAGAGGUUGCAGUGAGCUGAGAUUGUGCCAUUGCACUCCAGCCUGGGUGACAGACCGAGACUCAAUUAAAAAAAAAAAAAAAAAAGGCCAAAAAAAAAAAAUCCCCAAAACAAAAUAAUAAAACCAAAUCAAAAGCCA